GGGCUUCUGCUCCUCAGGGGGCAUGCGCAGGGCUGGCUGGGGCGGAUGACCGGGUCGGGCUCGUAUCUCACAGCCACCCAGGCCCGGGGUGAGGGGCCGGGGGAAUUCCGCUGAAUUGGGGCGUUUUUCUAAGGGUGAAGGGAGGUCGGGGGGCGGGCCUUUUCUGUCUUGGCUGUGGGGUCCUGUAUUGGCGGGUUUGUGUUUCUUUUCUGGAGCGCUCAAGUUAUGUGCACACUUUGCACGCCGGUUCUGGAGGCUGGGAAGUGCCUUUUGCAGCUGAGGCCAGUGAAGGUGAAGCAGCACUCUGAGGGGGAACUCACAUCAGAAACUUAAGAACAAAUUAUUUUUCAUAUUUCUAAUUCAGCACACCCUAACCAUGACUAACAAGGUGAGGAGCUGCUCGUGCCUCAUUUUGCCAAGCUCCAUCAGAAUACAUGUCCUGAGCUUCCUACUAAAGGAAACACUCUAGAAAGAACUGCCUUUCAGAACUUGAAGUUGAACCAAUAUUGAUGAAAGUGUCAGCACUUAUGUCUGUCUUUAUUUUUUCACAUUUCACUGUGAUUCACUCAGAUUUCACUGAAAAUUGUUUUGAGAUCUUCAACACAUGGAAGGUUAUAAUCAGUAGUUAUGUAUUAUUAUGAGGAGCAAUUAAGGCCUUUCAUAGAUACCAGAAGGUAUCAAGGAGAGCUUUUUACUUCUUUGCAAGUCUUGUAUAGUGCUACCAGGAUUCAAUAAAGCACAUUUGAUGGUUAA